AAUCAUGUGGACCCAAGUGUAACAAAUCUAUGGAAAGAGAGAAAAUCUCAGCUCAAGGAUCAACAUGUCUUUAUUCAAAGAAAGAGUGUACAUAUGCCAGAAUCAUAUGGACCGCAGACUGGCCCUGGUGAUUCCGUUAAGAAAAAAGAGGAAAAAUCAGUGCUUGUGCUCAUUGGUCAUUGGACAAAGGGUGUAUGCCAGAAUUUUUUCAAGAACAGUCUGAAUCUGACAUGGAAAAAAUGAAGAAAAACAGCCUUCCUGUUUAUAAAUCUACAUUCUGACAAAGGUCGUGACAAGGAGCACACAGCGGGUGUGACUGGUCUGCAGGGGAUGCUCACUCCUCCAUGGCACCUGAUCCCACCUCUGAUGUUUUGGAGGUCCGUAUUUGCUCUGCUCCUAUUUUGUAUUUUUUGAUGGGCUUUUGAGCUUGAAUACUGAUUGUUAUCUCGAUAUAUUUCAUUCUACUCAACUGUGUGUUCAUGUGAUCCUACCUCAGUAUUUACAGAAUGAUACAUCCUUUGUUUGAGGGUCAUUCUUGAUGUCUGACUGAGUAAUGGCAAUGGGACAUAAAACCUUAACUGACCUUA